AUACGGAGGAUCCGAGCGUUAUCCGGAUUUAUUGGGUUUAAAGGGAGCGUAGGUGGGAUAUUAAGUCAGCUGUGAAAGUUUGGGGCUCAACCUUAAAAUUGCAGUUGAUACUGGUUUCCUUGAGUACGGUACAGGUGGGCGGAAUUCGUGGUGUAGCGGUGAAAUGCUUAGAUAUCACGAAGAACUCCGAUCGCGAAGGCAGCUCACCGGGCCGGAACUGACACUGAUGCUCGAAAGUGCUGGUAUCAAACAGGAUUAGAUACCCUGGUAGUCCGCACAGUAAACGAUGAAUACUCGCUGUUUGCGAUACACGGUAAGCGGCCAAGCGAAAGCGUUAAGUAUUCCCCCUGGGGAGUACGCCGGCAACGGUGAAACUCAAAGGAAUUGACGGGG
rnacentral:rRNA from 1 species